ensembl:misc_RNA 7SK 7SK RNA
GGAUGUGAAGGCCAUCUGACUGCAACACCUGUCACCCUGUUGAUUGCCAGGGUUGAUGUGGCUGAUCCGGCUGGUUAUUCCUUUCCUCCCAAGGCUCCAAGUGCAUCCCUUCCUGAGCUGCGUGGUCUGACCAACAUGAUGACCUUCCCCAAAAAGGAGGACCCAGGACAUUUCUUCUGUCAAGUGUCUGCAAGUAGCUUUGCUCCCCUGCUGAAAACUCCAGAUAAGCUCUCAGGGUCCAUUUGGAGGAGAAUGUAAGCUAGUCAAGCUUCCAAGACUCCAGACACAUCCAAAUGAGGCUCUGCAUGUGGCAGUCUGCCUUUCUUU